CCCAGCUUGCUGGGUGGAUCAGUGGCGAACGGGUGAGUAACACGUGAGCAACCUGCCCCGCACUCUGGGAUAAGCCCUGGAAACGGCGUCUAAUACUGGAUACGAGAUGCAACCGCAUGGUUAGUGUCUGGAAAGAUUUUUCGGUCUGGGAUGGGCUCGCGGCCUAUCAGCUUGUUGGUGAGGUAAUGGCUCACCAAGGCGUCGACGGGUAGCCGGCCUGAGAGGGUGACCGGCCACACUGGGACUGAGACACGGCCCAGACUCCUACGGGAGGCAGCAGUGGGGAAUAUUGCACAAUGGGCGGAAGCCUGAUGCAGCAACGCCGCGUGAGGGAUGACGGCCUUCGGGUUGUAAACCUCUUUUAGCAGGGAAGAAGCGAAAGUGACGGUACCUGCAGAAAAAGCGCCGGCUAACUACGUGCCAGCUGCCGCGGUAAUACGUAGGGCGCAAGCGUUAUCCGGAUUUAUUGGGCGUAAAGAGCUCGUAGGCGGUCUGUCGCGUCUGCUGUGAAAACCCGAGGCUCAACCUCGGGCCUGCAGUGGGUACGGGCAGACUAGAGUGCGGUAGGGGAGAUUGGAAUUCCUGGUGUAGCGGUGGAAUGCGCAGAUAUCAGGAGGAACACCGAUGGCGAAGGCAGAUCUCUGGGCCGUAACUGACGCUGAGGAGCGAAAGGGUGGGGAGCAAACAGGCUUAGAUACCCUGGUAGUCCACCCCGUAAACGUUGGGAACUAGUUGUGGGGUCCUUUCCACGGAUUCCGUGACGCAGCAAACGCAUUAAGUUCCCCGCCUGGGGAGUACGGCCGCAAGGCUAAAACUCAAAGGAAUUGACGGGGACCCGCACAAGCGGCGGAGCAUCCGGAUUAAUUCGAUGCAACGCGAAGAACCUUACCAAGGCUUGACAUACACGAGAACGCUGCAGAAAUGUAGAACUCUUUGGACACUCGUGAACAGGUGGUGCAUGGUUGUCGUCAGCUCGUGUCGUGAGAUGUUGGGUUAAGUCCCGCAACGAGCGCAACCCUCGUUCUAUGUUGCCAGCACGUAAUGGUGGGAACUCAUGGGAUACUGCCGGGGUCAACUCGGAGGAAGGUGGGGAUGACGUCAAAUCAUCAUGCCCCUUAUGUCUUGGGCUUCACGCAUGCUACAAUGGCCGGUACAAAGGGCUGCAAUACCGUGAGGUGGAGCGAAUCCCAAAAAGCCGGUCCCAGUUCGGAUUGAGGUCUGCAACUCGACCUCAUGAAGUCGGACUCGCUAGUAAUCGCAGAUCUGCAACGCUGCGGUGAAUACGUUCCCGGGUCUUGUACACACCGCCCGUCAAGUCAUGA
rnacentral:rRNA from 1 species